rnacentral:rRNA from 1 species
AGCCUGCCCAGUGACUAAGUUAAACGGCCGCGGUACCCUAACCGUGCAAAGGUAGCGCAAUCACUUGUUCUUUAAAUGAGGACUAGUAUGAACGGCAUCACGAGGGUUAUGCUGUCUCCCUAUUCUAUUCAGUGAAACUGAUCUCCCCGUGAAGAAGCGGGGAUAAAAAUAUAAGACGAGAAGACCCCAUGGAGCUUUAAACUCAGUACCAACUGCCCAAUUAAAAACCUUUUACCCCUGCAGCUAUGGUUACUAGUUUUCGGUUGGGGUGACCACGGAGUAAAAAUCAACCUCCACGAUGAAAGGAACUAACAACCUAACCUAUGAGCUACAGCUCUAAGUAUCAAUAAAUUGACUAAUUGAUCCAAUUACUUGAUCAACGAACCUAGUUACCCUGGGGAUAACAGCGCAAUCCAUUUCAAGAGCUCAUAUCGACAAAUGGGUUUACGACCUCGAUGUUGGAUCAGGGUAUCCCAGUGGCGCAGCCGCUACUAACGGUUCGUUUGUUCAACGAUUAAA